rnacentral:piRNA from 1 species
UGGAAGCAAGAAAGUGCCAGAUGGAC